rnacentral:rRNA from 1 species
CCCUCGGGUCGUAAAGCACUGUCAGGAGGGAGAUAAUGACGGUACCUCCCAAAGGGAAGCAACGGCUAAUUACGUGCCAGCAGCCGCGGUAAUACGUAAGUUGCGAGCGUUAUCCGGGAAUCACUGGGCGUAAAGCGUUCGUAGGCGGCGCGGUAAGUCGGAUUUGAAAGCCCGGGGCUCAACCCCGGAUCCGGAUCCGAAACUAUUGUGCUUGAGUGUAUCAGAGGGUAGCGGAAUUCCCGGUGUAGCGGUAAUAUGCGUAGAUAUCGGGAGGAACACCAGUGGCGAAGGCGGCUACCUGGGGUACUACUGACGCUGAGGAACGAAAGCUAGGGGAGCGAACGGGAUUAGAUACCCCGGUAGUCCUAGCCGUAAACGAUGGACACUAGGUGUCGGGGGCUUCGACCCCCUCGGUGCCGCCGCUAACGCAUUAAGUGUCCCGCCUGGGAAGUACGGCCGCAAGGUUAAAACUCAAAGGAAUUGACGGGUCCCCGCACAAGCAGUGGAGCAUGUGGAUUAAUUCGAUGCUACGCGAAGAACCUUACCAGGACUUGACAUCCUGCUGAAAGCAUCUGGAAACAGUAGCCCCCUUCGGGCAGCAGUGACAGGUGGUGCAUGGCUGUCGUCAGCUCGUGCCGUGAGGUGUCAGAUUAAGUUCUGUAACGAGCGCAACCCUCGUUGUUAGUUGCCAUCAUUAAGUUGGGCACUCUAGCGAGACUGCCAGCGUCAAGCUGGAGGAAGGUGGGGACGACGUCAAGUCAUCAUGCCCCUUACGUCCUGGGCUUCACACGUGCUACAAUGGCCGGUACAACGGGCUGCAACAUCGCGAGAUGAAGCGAAUCCCUCAAAGCCGGUCUCAGUUCGGAUUGGAGGCUGCAACUCGCCUCCAUGAAGUUGGAAUUGCUAGUAAACGUGGAUCAGCAUGCCGCGUUGAAUACGUACCCGGGGAUUGUACACACCGCCCGUCACACCACGGAAGUUGGUAACACCCGAAGUCCGUCGGCUAACCGCAAGGAAGCAGCGCCGA